rnacentral:misc_RNA from 1 species
UUUCCGUAGGUGAACCUGCGGAAGGAUCAUUAUUGUAUAACCGAGGUGCGAGGGCUGUCGCUGACCCGAAAGGUCGUGCACGCCCGAGUGCUCUCACACACAUCCAACUCACCCCUAUGUGCACCACCGCGUGGGUCCCCCUUUGGCUUGUUCGGAGGGGGGCUUACGUUUUCACACAAACUCUGUAUGCAGUGUAGAAUGUAUUUUUUGUUUUUGCGAUCACGCAAUCAAUACAACUUUCAACAACGGAUCUCUUGGCUCUC